UUUUGAUCCUUUACAAUUAUUAACAAUAAAUCUUCCACAGACAGACAGAUCAUCUCAAAAAAAUAGAGUUAAAACAACAACUUCUCCUAGAAAUGUAAAAGACAUGAUAGAGAAACAUGGAUCCUAUUACUGGUAUAUGUACAAACUAACAAACGUUGUAUUAAUGCUAUCAGUAGACUGGUAUUCUGUGACGCUAAAAGGCUCUAUGAUAUCGUAACACCUCAAAACUCCUUCCUGCUACUGAAUCAGUGGGGGGGAGGGAAUAAAACGCGACACCUCAACUCCUUCCUGCUACUGAAUCAGUGGGGGAGGGAAUAAAACGCGACACCUCAAAACUCCUUCCUGCUACUGAAUCAUGGGGGGGGAGGGAAUACAACGCGACACCUUAAAACUCCUUCCUGCUACUGAAUCAGUGGGGGAGGGAAUACAACGCGACACCUCAAAACUCCUUCCUGCUACUGAAUCAGUGGGGUGGGGGAAGGAAUACAACGUGACACCUCAAAACUCCUUCCUGCUACUGAAUCAGUGGGGGAAGGAAUACAACGCGACACCUCAACUCCUUCCUGCUACUGAAUCAG
ensembl:lncRNA